rnacentral:misc_RNA from 1 species
AACUAUUUUCAAAUUUCAACACUGAUCUCUGAUUUUGUCGCCGGCUUGGUUUUGAAAGUUUGAUACCCCAGUAUGUCAGUUUUUGUCGACGUUCAGCUGUUCGUGCUUAUUUCUAACCCUUCGUGUGGUGGCUAGUUGGAGUUGUUCGUGACACACCGCGUGCUGCCUUCCAUCCACAGUCGUGCAAAUGACACCGAAAGUUCCGCGAGCCUCGUGUCUCUGCAGGGGGCGCCUACACCUUAGGUCUUUGGCGCUUGGUGCUUGGCGUCACCACGGACCCCAGCCACGUGGGCCCCCAUACCCACAUGCAGGGGGCACCUGCUUAGUAAGUGUUUGGUUUUGCAUCCAGCACGAAUAGCGGUGUGCAGUGCUCGUGAAUCAGAUGUGGUGUGCCAACCGUUACGAGCAACUCUGCAAAGUACAUCAAGAAGAGUUCCAUUGUGCUCCGACCGACGUCGUACUGGUGGAUAGGAUUCUUGCCACUGCAACCCGUUUUCUUCGGGAGUCUGCUUUGUGGGAAUAAACCAUGGCUUCAUCGUCGGCUACGUCAGUGGUAAGCGGUGGAGGGAGC